CCUCUGGACCCAGUACCACCCCCUCAGUGACAAUCACAGCUCACACUUUAUUGAGAUAACAGCCUCCUACUGACUGAAGUGUGGAUGAAGUACCAGUGUAGGAGAAAUAAGCAUCUCCCUGUCUUUAAUAAACAUCAUCAGACUACUAAGUGAAUUAUAAACUUUAAAGCUACUGUAAGGAAUUUUAGGAUCCCCUCUACAGAUGUUGUUAUUAUCGUUUAAACAGUUGUAAAAUGUAUUUAGGGGCACAUGUGAGCAUAAAAAAAAAGAUUAGGAGAGGCAACAAGUGUGUUUUUUUCAUGUAAAUGCCACGGGGAAGUUAGUUUUAGGUUGGAUAUUCAAAGGGCAUUUACUGCGGAUCUACCAUGUCUUCUCACUCUCCGUAACCGAUAAUGGCAACAGCAGUGGGAUUAAAUCUACUCGGCAUCCUCGCUGUCAACAUCAGGUGUUAAAUAAGGGACCGUCAAUAAAUUACCAAUUGAUGUUCUCAAAAAAGGCUGUUUUCCUUUAAUAGCUUCCACGUCAUGUGACCAAUUGACGUAAAAUUAAUUUCAAAUAAUAAGACUUAUGUUGACCAAUAAGACACGCCUUUUUAUUUCCCUAAUUUGUCCGCAUAAAUUUUUCGUGUUAAAUUUAACCCUCUAAUGCGUGACAACACAAAUUACGGCCAGAAAAUUCAAUUUUUUUGGAGCUGAAAUGUUUAUUUCACUUACUAUUGAAAACCAAAAAAAUCAAAAUGCCCUGAAAAUUUAACAAAUAUAUUUAUUCAUCUUGUUUGGAAUAUUAGAUGUUUUUGGAAACUGAUAGAUUACAAGAGGACAUUUUUGUCAUUUAUCAGACUGUAUUCAGGUGUUUUUUUUAGUAAUUUGUUGAUCAUGUUGAUUUGAUAGAAGUAUAUAAAAUUAUCAAAUAUAAUCCAAAAGGCAAUAAAGGGCUCAAUAAUAAUACUCAUGUCGAGCAAUAACACACACUUCUUUAUCUCCCUAAUUUGCCCUCAUAAAUGUUUGUGUUAAAUUUAUUGGCAAGUUUUGAACAUUUUCUUCAAUAGCUUCCAUGUCAUGUGACCAAAAGACCUAAAAUUGAUUUCAAAUAAUAGUACUUAUAUCGACCAAUAAAACAAACAUUAUUUGAUCAAUUUUCAUUGUGCCUCUAAAGUUCUUUGUGUGCUCCUUACUUUUUCAAUUUAGGAGCUCAUUGCAUCCAUGUGUAACAUCUUUAUUAAAUCUAUCAUACUUAUAUUGAGCAGAGAAUAAGACUAAAGAUGCUUACACACGCCUAGAUUCAUGUGCGCAGAAGCAACAUCGCUGAGUUGUUGUGGUCAUUUUCUCCUUGAUAGAAGCCAAAGAGAACACCUGUCAAUGAGAGCGACCCCAAUGAUAGAUAGCCCACUCUGCGGGGCCAGUGGGGCCGCUGGAACACGGGGACAUUCACUUAGGAAACCCCUCCAGUUCUGCUGUACAAUUUAUACCCUCCAUCCUCUCCCAAGUCAAAAGCUGUCUGUGUCAGUGUCAUUUCCACUACAAGCCUAUAGCUGGAACCGCGAGAGGUGCGAGGCAACUUCUUUCUCGAAAACAAAUAAGCGGCACGAAACAACACAACCUCCCUAUGGGGAAGCCUUGGAAUGGAUUAUCUGUCUUUAAACACCCACACUCCUUCUUGUGUUUCUCUCUUCUCUCCUCGACGUCUCCUGUUCUGUGAUCCAAAUUAUAAAUCUCAACUGGAGGGUGAGAGAUAAAAAGUUCCCAAAGGAGAGCGGCUUUUAUGUAAAGAAGAGGGUGCGGUGAGUUGUUGUAGAUGCAAAAGGGGAAGAUGCAGAGAUGACUGUUCGGCUCUCAAACGACACUUAGUGUUUUUUUUCUAGGAGGUGGGAUCAAAGUAAAUACUCAGCUUUGACUUUACUUAAGUGCCCUGGCUGUGGAAUAAAACUCCCUAACUGCAGGUUUUGGUGUGAAUACCUCGAGAUAUUCUUUUAUCCCUGAACAGCUACAAGGAAGACCGACCUUCUUUUGGUUGAUCACAACAUUUACACAGCUGCCAUUUUACUUUUAACACCCUCUCAUAUGCGUACCCUAAAAUCUUUCAGCAUUUACUGGUUAAUCAGUGGGACUAAAGGUCCUUACACACUGGGAACGUUUUUUUAUGUGCGAUUAUUUUAGAUGUCAAUAUUUUAUUCCAAAUUCGUAUCCUGCCAAUACAAGCGUUCACAACAGCAACGUUUUCCCGUCCUGCGAUAUUGCAGGUAUUUAAAUCUAAAGACAAGCUUUUUGAAUGGGUGUGUAUGGGGCUUCCAGUGAUUUUGCAGCGAGCCUCUAGUGGACACUCCAGGAACUACAAUUUCAAACGCUUGGACUUUAUUUCUCAAGACUAAAGGUCCUUUCACACCGGGAGCCUUUUUGUCGUGCGAUUAUUUUGGAUUUCGAUAUAUUUUUUUUCCGAAUCCUGUCAGUACAAGCGCUCACAUCAGCGACUUUCUCCCGUCCUGCGAUAUUGCGGCUUUUUUUUUUUCGGAUCAUGGUCGAAUUUUCUAAAGUUUCGCAUACUAUGUGUCCACCUCUGACCAAUCAGAUUUCGUGUUGUUGCAACGUCAGAUUCACCAGUGUAUCCAACAUGGCCGACCGGCUGAUUGUUUACGUGUCGGAGAACAGAGUGCUUUUUGAUAAAAAAACACAAAUAUUACAAAGAUAACGACCUGAAGGACUUUUCUCAUGACGAUGGUUUGUGUGCUUUAACAGUUUGCUGAACGUCUUUGUUUUAACUCUCAUCUGUGCUAAGUAACUUUAGCUCAUAAGCUAACUGACGAGCUAAAGUUACUUAGCUAAUCAAAACUGAAAACAGUCAGCCCCCCCCGGAAAGUCGAAAAAUCGCAUUGCGCUUGAUGUGUACAGUCAGGCGCGUCAAAAUUCGCCUCCGAAUAUUUCCGAAUUCCGCGUUGUAAAUUUGCCGUAACCUAACCUAACACAACCAUGUUUAGCCAAGAUUACAGUGGUUUUAAUGAGUUGUUCUGUUAAUAUUUAGUUAUUUCCUGUAAGCACAGCAACAUCUCAACACUACAGCGAUCUGUUGUGUUAAUAUAGCUAGCUUAAAAUUGCAUAUAGUGUCUUUAAAGUUAAUACGGCGCCCUCUAAAUGUUUCCAUGACUGUCUUUUCAGUUGCUAAUCAGCUCAGGAGUGGGGAUACUGAUUUCCUACAUCUACCUACAAUCACAAUCAUUAAUUAACAUAUCUGAAUGAUAUCAUUGUUUAAUUUGAGCUUCCUACCCUAGAAAAAUGGCUGCUGUGGGAGAACGGUGAAUGGUAGACCAAGAUAUCAAUAAAUGUAAUUUGUUGCAAAUGAGUGAAAAAUGUUAAAUCCACUGUGACUCUUUCGGAUUUUACCAACCACAGGCCAAUCCUAGCAUACUGUACAAUUACCUGACCUUUUACUCUGAAAUACGUGUAUUUCACACUUAAUUUCCUCUUUGUGGAAAAGAAAAUGUUAUUGGAAAAAAUAUAGACUCCUCUUGGCAGACACCAUAUGAAGUCUACUUAUUAUUGGCUCCUCUGAAUGGUUGAAAUCCAGGGGAAUUUUCUCCACAGGCACAGAUUGGCUUCCAUGGCAACAAGCACAGACUUACAUGAACCAAAGCCUGGCCUUGUUAACCUCAGUGCUUGCACCUGACAAGAAAACACGGUACUACAGUCAAAACAUCAUGUCCCUACUUGUGUUUAACUUACUUUCUGAAAUAAUGUACUGUCAAGGACACUUUCACAGUCUUGUCCAAACACUAUGAGCCCCUUUUUUUCCUGUUUUUAACAAACUAGAGCUGUAACACCUCUCGCUUGUAUUAGAAGGUGAAAAACCUUUAGCUAUUAGGCAUAUUUUCAAUUUUUAUAGGAGGAUAAACAGAUUCUUUCGAAACAUGCCUCGGAAACACCAUCUUGACUCGAGGUUACAGUAUUUCCUUUAAAAACUGGAGUUGUUAUUGACGAACAACCAACACACUGUCAAAGCUUAAAAGCAAUGGGUAAUCAUGCCCCCGCUUUAUGUGACCCUCGGCUCAUUUCGACACACAAACACAAGAUUAUGAUGCAAAAAGAGAGACCAACAAUGUAACCCACACAGGUAACAAAUGCGCCAAACACUGCACCAAGUAUUACACAGGGUAGAGUACAAGAAGAGUUGUGGGUAAGGCUGCAUAUGAGUAGCAUAUGAGGUAGCACACUAGGUGGCGUACAAGGUAGUGUACAAAGUAGCAUAUGAAGAAGGAUACCAGUGGUGUAUGGGGUAGGGUUGGGCAUCGAGUCCCGAUCAUCGAUGGGGACCGGGACUAACAUUCCGAUUCUCCCAGAACCGUUCAAAUAUUUAAAUUUGGAUUCCAAGUUUUUGAUACUCGAAGAAAUAGCCACCCAACACCAAC